rnacentral:rRNA from 1 species
CUUGACGUGGUGCGAGAAUCGGUGGUCAGAUGACGGGGGCGAGCGGUGUUCGGAUAUCCGUGGGGUGAAGUGCGCGUAGGCGGCAGAUCAAGGACGGAGUGGAUGCACCGGGCGUAACCUUGGAACUGCGUCUGGGACUGGUAUGGUAGAGAUCGGGGGAGGAGGGUGGAAUUUCCAGUGUAGAGGUUAAAGUCGUAGAUAUUGGGAAGAACACCGGUGGCGAAGGCGGCUCUCUGGACCGAGACUGACGCUGAGGCGCGAAAGCGUGGGGAGCAAACAGGAUUAGAUACCCCUGUAGUC